UACAGCCAUAUCAUGUUGAAACAUUGGUUCUCAUCCAAUCACUGAAGUUAAGUAUCAUCAAGCCUGGUUAGCACUUAAAUAGGUGACCACUUAGGAAUACCACAUGGUGUAUG